rnacentral:tRNA from 1 species
UGGGUUGUAGCCAAGAGGUUAAGGCGUUAAUUUUUGAUAUUAAUAACAAAGGUUCGAUUCCUUUCAGCCCAA